rnacentral:piRNA from 1 species
UUACAAAUCUGCUACCCUACUGUGAAU